AGAGCUGUUAGAGCAGGGACGCGCGAAAGGCGGGAGUACGGGCGGCGCUGGAGAACCUCCGCGGCGGAGGGGCCUGGGGGUGGGACCGCGCCCGCGAGCCCGCCCUGACCGGGGUGCGUUCUACUGGCAGUUGCUGAGUUCGGAAGAUUAACUCUGAAUGUGGAGAGAUUAUUUUCUUGCUCGUAAACCUGGUUUACAUAUUUUCAUUCUUAAUGCUCAGUAAUCUUAAGGAAAGUCACCUGAAAGAAUACUUUUUCACCAAGUACUCUUCUGCGCCUGUUUGAAGGUGUCUGUGUGCUUGUGAAGCGCUCCCUUGUUAGUUCCUUCUGUGAGACUCGGGGGAGACUGAAGAGGGAAAUCACCUGCGGGGAAUGAACAGGAAAGCAAUAAGAAGAUUUGGAAAAGAGGCACUGGCUACUGGAGGAAGGGAGAAAUCACCGAGAGAGCGAAAGAUGUAACAGUGACUCAUGCCUAUAAUCCCAGUACUUUGGAAGGUCAAGGCAC
rnacentral:lncRNA from 1 species